rnacentral:misc_RNA from 1 species
UACAGAGGCCCCAAGCAUUAUCCGGAAUCACUGGGCGUAAAGGGUGUGUAGGCGGCACUGCUAGUCUCUUGUGAAAGGCUCUGGGCUUAACCCAGAGAACGCGAGGGAAACGGCAGCGCUUUGAGGGUGCGAGAGGUUGCGGGAACUCACGGUGUAGGGGUGAAAUCCGUUGAUAUCGUGGGGAACACCAAAUGCGAAGGCACGUAACUGGCGCACUCCUGACGCUGAGACACGAAAGCGUGGGUAGCGAACGGG